rnacentral:rRNA from 1 species
UACGUAGGAGGCAAGCGUUGUCCGGAAUUACUGGGCGUAAAGGGCGCGUAGGCGGAUGGCACAGUCAGAUGUGAAAUUCCCGGGCUUAACCUGGGGGCUGCAUUUGAUACGUGUUGUCUUGAGUUCGGAAGAGGGUCGUGGAAUUCCCAGUGUAGAGGUGAAAUUCGUAGAUAUUGGGAGGAACACCGGUGGCGAAGGCGGCCAUCUGGACGGAUACUGACGCUGAGACGCGAAAGCGUGGGUAGCAAACAGG